rnacentral:rRNA from 1 species
GAUGAACGCUGGCGGCGUGCCUAAUACAUGCAAGUCGAGCGAACAGAUGAGGAGCUUGCUCCUCUGACGUUAGCGGCGGACGGGUGAGUAACACGUGGAUAACCUACCUAUAAGACUGGGAUAACUUCGGGAAACCGGAGCUAAUACCGGAUAAUAUAUUGAACCGCAUGGUUCAAUAGUGAAAGACGGUUUUGCUGUCACUUAUAGAUGGAUCCGCGCCGCAUUAGCUAGUUGGUAAGGUAACGGCUUACCAAGGCAACGAUGCGUAGCCGACCUGAGAGGGUGAUCGGCCACACUGGAACUGAGACACGGUCCAGACUCCUACGGGAGGCAGCAGUAGGGAAUCUUCCGCAAUGGGCGAAAGCUUGACGGAGCAACGCCGCGUGAGUGAUGAAGGUCUUCGGAUCGUAAAACUCUGCUAUUAGGGAAGAACAAAUGUGUAAGUAACUAUGCACGUCUUGACGGUACCUAAUCAGAAAGCCACGGCUAACUACGUG